UGAAACAAUGAGCGCGAGAAUUCUGCUUUAUUCCGGUUUCAAACUAUGAUUCAUUUUAGCCUUAGAGAGGAAGGCAUUGAAGAACCGUAACUGAUUAUUAUUCUUUUCUUGUUAUUCUUUUCCUCCCACUAAAUGUGGUUAUAAUAAUUCCCUGCGUGCAGCAGCCUCAAAGCCUUGCACAGUAACUGUGGAACAUGCACAAGUGGUUAAAUAGCUCAAGAUUUUGUACAGCCUCUCUGCCUGUGCCAUUGUACACUGAGAUCUCGAUUCAGAGUUCAUACGUGGAUCUUGGAAAUUGUCUUCGCUGCCUGGAAAAAUCUCACAUCCAAUGAUUGGGGGCCUAGUGGAUUUACACAGCAACAAUCUCAGCUGGCUGUAGUCUUCUCAUCUCUCACUGAUGACACCUUCACCCUCUCUGUCUUCACCAUGAGGCUGUUCUUCCACUGAGGAAAGGAUCUUGGGAUCACCUGUACAUUUGCUCAGCCCUGACAGGGGCGUGUGCAGUGAGUGGGCUCUGGUGUUCACACAGAGUUCCUACCAGGAGGAUUUCCCUCACGGCCCAGCCAGAGGCAGGAAUCACAGAGGCGCUGGCAGUCUUCACUGUUCCUGUUGAGUAAUUCCUGCCUUCCUGCCACUGAAAACAUGUCAUUCAUGGCAAUGUGGUGGUUUAAGGCAGAGUCUUAAAUAGCAGAUGUUUAUCUUACCACCCCAAGACCUCUUGUGUAAUACUCCUGUCUUCCCUCAGGCCAGAGAGAGGAUGAAGGAUUCAGGGGCAGCUCCAGCACUUGUGCCGGCUGUGUACUCCUGCUGGGGAGCCCAUUGCCAAGGAAUGGGAAACAGUGGAGUUGCAGGACUGGGCUCUGGUUGAUGUCGAUCCUGAAAAACGACUGUUUAAUAAACAAACAACCAAACAAGGCACGAUAUCCUCACGGGCCCGGUUAGCAAGGAAGUGGUUUGCUUGCAGAGCCUCACUGCCACCUAGCACGUGAGGUUGGUCUAUAUUUAGCCCUUUGAAACUUUCCAGAUAAGAAUUCCCUUGAUGUGAACUGAAACCCUUGACCACCACAAAACACCCAGCAAGGCUCCACGUCCCCAGUUCCUCCCUGUUGCUGCAGGACAGCCCUCAUACUUUGUGAUUGAAUCAUCAGGUUCCCAGUGCUGACACCCAGGCUCCAGCAGCCUUACCACACAGGAGGCAAACAGAACACGUGUUGGUUAAAGCCUGACAAAGCAACACUUGGAUUUAGGUCAGGCACAGCAAACAGGAGUUACUUGUACGCCGCGCCUGGCUCCCGUUCAAACCCAGAGCCCGAUGAAUUCACACCAGCCCAGACAUGCAAAGCGGCAUCUGCCUUUCCCCUUUCCACAGCGAUUUCUGCUCACACAGUGCCUUCAGCUCCUCACUGCUGCACCCCACAACUACCCUGCAAAGGCUACUGGCUCUGGGGAGCAGAAACACCGGCUCUGAGCACAGGCUGCAGAAUUCCCUGCUGGCCCAUCUGCCCCGGGCUCUGCCGCAGCUGCGGCACGAAGCAGGCAGCGGACAGUGCUCAUCCCAAACUGCCCAGAUUGUCCAGCUUGGCUUGCUGCAGGACUGUGACCAAGAAAACCCCUGCUGGACCUCACCCCUUCUGAUGGACUGUCAGGACUCACAGGGCAUUCAGCCUUCAUUUGAGGAUGGUGAAUUCACCUUUCACCCCGAUGGUCUUUUAGCCUUUGUCUCUCUUCUCACUGCUCCUUUAUCCCUUCCCAUUUUCCCCUGGCUGCUGUCACUUCCUGGUGGUAGAAGCAGGCUUUAAUUUCCAUUCCAGAAUUGGCAGAGGCUUUUGACUCUGGAUUUGUAGAGGCUUCAGUUUCUAGUACUUUAACUCCUUGUUCACUGGUUGUUGGAAUUGAAUUUUGUCCUUUCUUAUCUUUUAGCCCAUCUCAAGGCCCCUUAGUGCAGCUUACUUUGCAUUAAUGAAGUUAUGGACAAAGAGUAUUAACCUUUUGAUUAACUUCACUUUAUUACUCCACCAUAAAUGCAUGGUUACACAUUUAUAGGGAUUAUAUUUACUUAUAUUUCAUAUACAAAAUAGAGAACUACAAAUAUCACACAUAAAAUACGAUGCAUUUA